rnacentral:rRNA from 1 species
AGAGUUUGAUUCUGGCUCAGAACGAACGCUGGCAGCGUGGAUUAGGCAUGCAAGUCGAACGUGAAACCGGUGAUCAAUUCUUCGGAAGAGUGAGCCGGCGGAAAGUGGCGAAAGGGUGAGUAACGCGUGGGCAAUCUGCCCUUAAGUGGGGGAUAACUUCGCGAAAGCGAGGCUAAUACCGCAUAUGGUUCUCCGGCGCCUGUCGGGGUGACUAAAGGUGGGUCUUUCGGGAUCUGCCGCUUAGGGAGGAGCCCGCGUCCCAUCAGCUUGUUGGUAAGGUAACGGCUUACCAAGGCUUACGGGUAGCUGGUCUGAGAGGAUGGUCAGCCACACUGGGACUGAGACACUGCCCAGACUCCUACGGGAGGCUGCAGUCGAGGAUCAUUGGCAAUGCGCGAAAGCGUGACUAUGCGACGCUGCGUGGAGGAUGAAGGCCUUCGGGUUGUAAACUCCUGUCAUUCGGGAAAAACGUUUCCGCCCCUCAUACGGGCGGGAAGUGAUGGUACCGGAAGAGGAAGCCACGGCUAACUCUGUGCCAGCAGCCGCGGUAAUACAGAGGUGGCUAGCGUUGUUCGGAUUUACUGGGCGUAAAGGGUGCGUAGGUGGUUCCGUAUGUCGGGUGUGAAAGCCCACGGCUCAACCGUGGAAUUGCAUUCGAAACUACGGAGCUUGAGUGCAGGAAGGGAGAGCGGAAUUCUUGGUGUAGCGGUGAAAUGCGUUGAUAUCAAGAAGAACACCGGUGGCGAAGGCGGCUCUCUGGAAUGUAACUGACACUGAAGCACGAAAGCUGGGGGAGCAAACAGGAUUAGAUACCCUGGUAGUCCCAGCCGUAAACGGUGCGCACUUGGUGUUGGGGGUAUUGACCCCCCCAGUGCCGUAGCUAACGCGUUAAGUGCGCCGCCUGGGGAGUACGGCCGCAAGGCUAAAACUCAAAGAAAUUGACGGGGGCCCGCACAAGCGGAGGAGCAUGUGGCUUAAUUCGAUGCAACGCGAAGAACCUUACCAGGGCUUGACAUGGGGACCCUUCGGGGGUGGUAGCGAAAGCUACCUUUACCAUCACAGGUGCUGCAUGGCUGUCGUCAGUUCGUGCCGUGAGGUGUUGGGUUAAGUCCCGCAACGAACGCAACCCUUGUGUCUAGUUGCUACCGUCGGUGAUGAGCCGGCGGGCACUCUAUACAGACUGCCCGUGCAAGCGGGAGGAAGGUGGGGAUGACGUCAAGUCAGUAUGGCCCUUACGCCCUGGGCUGCACACGUGCUACAAUGGCAGGUACAGAAGGAUGCAAUACCGCGAGGUGGAGCUAAUCCCCAGAGCCUGCGUCAGUUCGGAUUGGAGUCUGCAACUCGACUCCAUGAAGUUGGAUUCGCUAGUAACGGCGUAUCAGCUACGACGCCGUGAAUACGUUCCCGGGCCUUGUACACACCGCCCGUCACAUCAUGAAAGCCGUCUGCACCCGAAGUCGCUGAGCCAAUCUUUUACGAGAAGGCAGGUGCCGAAGGUGUGGGUGGUGAUUGGGAUGAAGUCGUAACAAGGUA